UCAUAAUCACUUGUUUCCUAAAUAGAGACUAGUAUCAACGGCAUCACGAGGGUUAAACUGUCUCCCACCCCCCAUCAGUGAAACUGAUCUCCCCGUGAAGAAGCGGGGAUACAGCUAUAAGACGAGAAGACCCUAUGGAGCUUCAGGCAAUGCAGGCACCAUUACAAAACAAAACCACACAUAUACUAAAUCUGCCUGCCAGCCUUAGGUUGGGGCGACCGCGGAGUAAAAUAAAACCUCCACAACAAACAGGACUACACCUUAAUCCAAGAGCCACCACUCCAAGAAUAGAUAAAUCAAUGUAAUAUGACCCGAUAAUCGAUCAAUGAACCAAGUUACCCUAGGGAUAACAGCGCAAUCCAUUUCUAGAGCCCAUAUCAACAAAUGGGUUUACGACCUCGAUGUUGGAUCAGGGUAUCCCAGUGGUGCAGCCGCUACUAAAGGUUCGUUUGUUCAACGAUUAAAACCCUACGUGAUCUGAGUU
rnacentral:rRNA from 1 species